GGGAAAUUUGAAGCACAUGUCCUUCAUUAGGGCCAGUUCUACUGUAGCUCCAAUUCUGUUUAGGAGAUGGAUUUUUGGACUGAUAGUGCUUCCUUUUACCCUCUUACCUCCUGAUUGGUCAUCUCCCCAUAUGGCUUGUCACCAUAUGACAAGACCUCCCACAUGACAAUGCCAAAACUCCAAACAUCACUGGCCGAGGUGAAGAUUCGAUGGGCAAUGGCCUCAGGAGCGGUCCAUCGGAUGGGGAUUUUGCCACCCUGCGGAAAGAGUGCUUACAGCUGAAGUGGAAAUUAUACUCCUGUAAGUUGUGGGGCCUGAUGCCCCCUACUGAGAUAUCAUCACUGGUUAACAUUUACUAGCAAAAUGCCAAAGGAGAUCUGUGCUUUAAGAACAGGACAUAUUUCUUCCAAUCCAAGGUGAGCUUUAAAAGAAAAAAAAACUUGUGUUCAUUUUCAGUGUGGUGAAGACUGAAUAUAAGGAAGAUUCACCUGUGCAGGACAUCUACUGGUCGGAAACUAUGAUGUUAGAAGUUCUGCAGCUUUUUCUUCUUCUUUUUUUAAACAAGCAAAGGAUGAACAUAGACACGAAUUUUUAAAAAUGUGGUGUCUUCAAAGUUAAAGUAAAAAGAAAGGAAAGAAACGCCCUCAGCAGCUUCCGGCUUUUUUCAGCUUGUUUCUACGUUACCUUGGUUUCGCUAUUCUGAGAACCUUUCCUUGGUAGAACUGCUCCAGACACUAUAAUCUGAGCUGCUCUACCAGUCCCCAUUGAGUUCUUACGUUUUGUGACGACUCCCUCUAAACGGACGAUAUUGUGGUGGUUGAACUGGCCCAUGAUCGUUGCCUCACGCAGGAAGUUCCACCAUGUGGAGUCUGAAUAACCCACCCCUGCAUCUCACAUGGUGUAUCCUUAGGACACCACCAGCAACAUGUUUGGCUAUGGAUCUGGAUGCAACACCUCCACCCCCAAAUAGCUCCUUCAGCUGGAAAUGACUGGUCAGAUGUCUCCUACAGAGCCUGUUGCCUGGACCUCAGACUGCCUAACCCUGUGGUCCACUCCUUUGCUUUUCUUGACUUCUGAGAGUCUCACCUCGGUCAUAGCCAGAGUGGUUUUGGCAUGGUCGUGCUCGACGAUGACGAGUCUGCCUAAAAGGGAUAAUAAACUACUUUAAUGCAUUUGUUUUACUUUUGCAUUUUGUUGAACAUGUCAAUGUUCUAAAACCCUCAGAACAAACAAAACCCCUCAAACAAAAACAAUCGGAAAGAAUAGAGCUUUCCACGCAGUCCGAUCUAACAGCACAAAGCAGGAUUCCUGAGACAGAGAAGACCCUGCCACCACACUCUUUCCUCCCUCAGGAACUGCACACUCUACCUUCGCCGAAAAAUCAUGAGUCCCAUGACCAGACCGAAAAACAACAAGACUCCAAAGAUGAUGGAGACGAUCACUCCUCCAGAGGGCACUCCAGUGUCUGAAAAGCAAAGGACAGGUUAAGACAUCAUUCUGGAAACAGGGCUACCUGAUCAGGGCUUAUCUCUUCAGAUAUAUUACAACUGGAUUCCUUUGAGGAUUUGGAAUAGUCCUGCUCAAGGCACAGUGGGACAGUGGGAUUGUGACCAGCCUAGCACCAGGGAUUUUGUAUACAAAGUACUGGAGGACCGAAUGAAAGCAGAACUUUCAAUGCAGUCCGAAUGAAAGUGGAACUUCACAGUAAGGACUGGGCUGCAGAAUAACUAGUUAUAUUUGGGCUAAAGAAGGAAGACAGAGAAUAAAUGUUUCUGAUUGUU